rnacentral:tRNA from 2 species
CUUAGAUGGACCCUAACAAGUCCCAUAAACA